GUCAUGAAUAUGUAAGGCACAUGGACUAUAAACAAUUUGGCUAACCUCUCAGGAUAACAGUCCUGCAGUAUUGAUAAUGCUGCUAGAUAUCCACGAAUGUCACUGUUAGUAUAUCCCCAUCCUUCAAGAUCUGCAAUGGCCACAAACUUUUCCUGCCCAGUUGGCAUUCUUUCACAUAUUCUCUCAAGAGUAAAGGCUACAAAACGCUUGAACUCCUCCAAAUUUCCUUUGUACGGUUUAUGUUUGGCUCCAAAAACAACCACUAUAGGGUGAUUCGUCUUAUCAACACCUUGCAUAAACAACUUAUUUUGGGCAAGUUCAUGUGGGAUCUCUGAUGGAGAUAUAAAGCCAUUAGGGAGAAAUGAUCGCCUCCAGCUUAGGUAUUUGAGUAACAAGGUAGAAGCCUUCUCAAUAUCUAGCUCACGAGCACGCAGAAAUCUCCGGAUCAUCAAAUCAUCCACGUCCUUGACGGAGGGAUCUUCUCUUUCAACAUGGGCUCUCAUAAUGCGGACUUUGUUUUGCUCAAUUUCAUUGCUUUCCUGGCUAUUUGCUUGCUGUCCGUUGUUGAAUUCCAUUUGACUUGUCUCCUCUCUGCAAUAUGAAAUUUGAUUUGCAGAGAGAGGAAAUGCAAAUUGAGGGCUUGUGUUUGUGUUGAGUUGAAGUAAGGUGCUUGUCUCACGGAAUCUGACGAGAAGAG
rnacentral:misc_RNA from 1 species